AUUGAACGCUGGCGGCAUGCUUUACACAUGCAAGUCGAACGAGUGGCGCACGGGGGAGAAAUACAUCGGAACGUGUCCUAUCGUGGGGGAUAUCUGAUCGGAAGAUCAGCUAAUACCCCAUACGCUUGGAGCGGCCCACGCCGGAUUAGCGAGUUGGUGAGGUAAAGGCUCACCAAGGCGACGAUCGGUAGCUGGUCUGAGAGGACGACCAGCCACACUGGGACUGAGACACGGCCCAGACUCCUACGGGAGGCAGCAGUGGGGAAUUUUGGACAAUGGGGGCAACCCUGAUCCAGCCAUGCCGCGUGUAGGAUGAAGGUCUUCGGAUUGUAAACUGCUUUUGUCAGGGAAGCGUUACCUGAAGAAUAAGCACCGGCUAACUACGUGCCAGCAGCCGCGGUAAUAC
rnacentral:rRNA from 1 species